rnacentral:rRNA from 1 species
AUUGAACGCUGGCGGCAGGCCUAACACAUGCAAGUCGAGCGAGCGGCGGAGGGGUGAGUAAUGUGUGGGAAAAUGCCUGAUGGAGGGGGGUAAAUACUGGAAACGGUAGAUAAUACCGCAUACCCUCUGAUGUGGCCCGAUGGGAUUAGCUAGUGGGGGGGGUAACGGCUCACCUAGGGGACGAUCCCUAGCUGGUCUGAGAGGAUGACCAGCCACACUGGAACUGAGCCACGGUCCAGACUCCUACGGGAGGCAGCAGUGGGGAAUAUUGCACAAUGGGCGCAAGCCUGAUACAGCCAUGCCGCGUGUGUGAAGAAGGCCUUCGGGUUGUAAAGCACUUUCAGCGGGGAGGCGUUACCCGCAGAAGAAGCACCGGCUAACUCCGUGCCAGCAGCCGCGGUAAUUC